CAGGAGCUCUGUGGAUGUUGCUGGAGACCAGAGAAAGCCUCUACCAUCUUCUUCUCUCUCUCUCUCUAAGAUUUUUCUCUCUCUACAAAGAAGUCGCCGUUUUGCACCGUUGUCGUCGCCGAGCUCGCCCUUCGCUGUUUGGGAGUGUUGCUGAGCCUUCGUGGACGUGUGAGAGAGUAUUUUGGACGGGUUUCCGCAGCUCUGGACCAGUUGUUCACUGGUUGGAAGCUUAAUAGAGUUUGGGAUUACUUCUUCGCAGCAGGUUUCCGAUAUUAUUUGAGCUUAUUCGGUGACUUGGGAGGUUGGUUCGGAAGGUGUUCUAACUUGAGUGAAGGGGCAUUUGACCCUUGGACCGCCUUCGAUUGGCUUCGGAAGGCCUUUUGGGAAGCUUAACGUAAGCAGGGUUGAGGCCCAAAGGAGCUGACCUUGGAACUUCUUUUGAACUGAUUUGAGCUUAG